rfam:Triticum aestivum genome assembly, contig: Triticum_aestivum_CS42_TGACv1_scaffold_345087_4DL
AAAAUACUCCCUCCAUCCGAAAAAGUUUGUCUCUCAAAUGAAUGUAUCUACCAUCAAAUUGAUGCUAGAUACAUUCAUUUAAAAGACAAGUUUGGAACAAGAUUUUUCGGACGAAGAGAGUACUGU